rnacentral:rRNA from 1 species
AGCGAAUUUGAAACCCUCGGGAUUGUAAUUUGAAGAUUUGGUAUUGGAGAAAGCUAACCCAAGUUGCUUGGAAUAGUACGUCAUAGAGGGUGACAACCCCGUCUGGCUAACCGUUCUCCAUGUAUUGCCUUAUCAAAGAGUCGAGUUGUUUGGGAAUGCAGCUCAAAGUGGGUGGUAAACUCCAUCUAAAGCUAAAUACUGGUGAGAGACCGAUAGCGAACAAGUACUGUGAAAAAGGUGAAAAGAACUUUGAAAAGAGAGUGAAAUAGUAUGUGAAAUUGUUGAUAGGGAAGGAAAUGAGUGGAGAGUGGCCGAGGUUUCAGCCGCCCCUCGUGGGCGGUGUACUGGACGCCGAGUCAUCGAUAGCGAGAGGGUUACAAAUGGGAGCGCUUCGGGCGUUCUCCCCUAACACUGCCACCGACUCCUGC